ACGGGAGGCAGCAGUGGGGAAUAUUGGGCAAUGGGGGCAACCCUGACCCAGCAACGCCGCGUGAAGGAAGAAGGCUUUCGGGUUGUAAACUUCUUUGUCGAGGGACGAUAAUGACGGUACCUCGAAAACAAGCCACGGCUAACUACGUGCCAGCAGCCGCGGUAAUACGUAGGGGGCAAGCGUUAUCCGGAUUUACUGGGUGUAAAGGGAGCGUAGACGGCUUUGCAAGUCUGAAGUGAAAGCCCGGGGCUCAACCCCGGAACUGCUUUGGAAACUGUAGAGCUAGAGUGCAGGAGAGGUAAGUGGAAUUCCUAGUGUAGCGGUGAAAUGCGUAGAUAUUAGGAGGAACACCAGUGGCGAAGGCGGCUUACUGGACUGUAACUGACGUUGAGGCUCGAAGGCGUGGGGAGCAAACAGGAUUAGAUACCCUGGUA
rnacentral:rRNA from 1 species